rnacentral:rRNA from 1 species
GACGAACCGUGCGAACGUUGUUCGGAUUCACUGGGCUUAAAGGGCGCGUAGGCGGGCGAUCAAGUCAGGGAUGAAAUCUUUCGGCUUAACCGGAAAAGUGCCUUUGAUACUGGUCGUCUCGAGGGAGGUAGGGGCGUGUGGAACUUCCGGUGGAGCGGUGAAAUGCGUAGAUAUCGGAAGGAACACCGGUGGCGAAAGCGACGCGCUGGACCUCUUCUGACGCUGAGGCGCGAAAGCCAGGGAGCAAACGGG